GCUGGGCGUGGUGGCGCGCGCCUGUAGUCCCAGCUACUCAGGAGGCUGAGGUGGGAGGAUCCCUUUAGCCCAGGAGGUCGAGGCUGCAGUGAGCCGUUAUAGCGUCACUGCACUCCAGCCUGGGUGACAGAGUGAGACCCUGUCUCAA
rfam:Homo sapiens chromosome 6 genomic contig, GRCh38 reference assembly alternate locus group ALT_REF_LOCI_7.